rnacentral:rRNA from 1 species
GACGAACGCUGGCGGCGUGCUUAACACAUGCAAGUCGAACGGUAAGGCCCUUCGGGGUACACGAGUGGCGAACGGGUGAGUAACACGUGGGUGAUCUGCCCUGCACUUCGGGAUAAGCCUGGGAAACUGGGUCUAAUACCGGAUAGGACUCCUGGCUUCAUGGUUGGGGGUGUAAAGCUUUUGCGGUGUGGGAUGGGCCCGCGGCCUAUCAGCUUGUUGGUGGGGUAAUGGCCUACCAAGGCGACGACGGGUAGCCGGCCUGAGAGGGUGACCGGCCACACUGGGACUGAGAUACGGCCCAGACUCCUACGGGAGGCAGCAGUGGGGAAUAUUGCACAAUGGGCGCAAGCCUGAUGCAGCGACGCCGCGUGAGGGAUGACGGCCUUCGGGUUGUAACCUCUUUCAAUAGGACGAAGCGCAAGUGA